UACGUAGGGUGCAGGCGUUAAUCGGAAUUACUGGGCGUAAAGCGUGCGCAGGCGGUUUGCUAAGACAGGUGUGAAAUCCCCGGGCUUAACCUGGGAACUGCGCUUGUAACUGGCAAGCUAGAGUGUGGCAGAGGGGGGUGGAAGUUCCACGUGUGAGCAGUGGAAAUGACGUAGAGAUGUGGAGGAACGACCGAUGGCGCAAGGCAGCCCCCUGGGACG
rnacentral:rRNA from 1 species